CUGAGUACUACACUCUCUACCCUUUGUGAACUAUUAUACCUGUUGCUUUCGGCGGCGCCCGCGAGGGUGCCCGCCGGUCUCAUCAGAAUCUCUGUUUUCGAACCCGACGAUACUUCUGAGUGUUCUUAGCGAACUGUCA
rnacentral:misc_RNA from 1 species